GGGGCUAUAGCUCAGUUGGUAGAGCAUCUGAUUCCAGGUAUAGUUCUAGCAACGUUAGUCCUUUAUAGGAAUCUCCAGAAGGUCAUCCGUUCGAAUCGGGUUAGCCUCA